rnacentral:rRNA from 1 species
GCUCAGUUGCUAUGUCUAGUACUAAUCUCAUGGCAGCCAGGAGACUUCGGAUCUGGUGCGCGCAGUGGCGAACGGGUGAGUAAUACAUCGGAACGUGCCUAGUAGUGGGGGAUAACUACUCGAAAGAGUAGCUAAUACCGCAUGAGAUCUACGGAUGAAAGCAGGGGACCCUCGGGCCUUGUGCUACUAGAGCGGCUGAUGGCAGAUUAGGUAGUUGGUGGGAUAAAAGCUUACCAAGCCUGUGAUCUGUAGCUGGUCUGAGAGGACGACCAGCCACACUGGGACUGAGACACGGCCCAGACUCCUACGGGAGGCAGCAGUGGGGAAUUUUGGACAAUGGGCGAAAGCCUGAUCCAGCAAUGCCGCGUGCAGGAUGAAGGCCCUCGGGUUGUAAACUGCUUUUGUACGGAACGAAAAGCCUGAGGCUAAUAUCCUCGGGUCAUGACGGUACCGUAAGAAUAAGCACCGGCUAACUACGUGCCAGCAGCCGCGGUAAUACGUAGGGUGCAAGCGUUAAUCGGAAUUACUGGGCGUAAAGCGUGCGCAGGCGGUUUUGUAAGACAGUGGUGAAAUCCCCGGGCUCAACCUGGGAACUGCCAUUGUGACUGCAAGGCUGGAGUGCGGCAGAGGGGGAUGGAAAUUCCGCGUGUAGCAGUGAAAUGCGUAGAUAUGCGGGAGGAACACAAAUGGCGAAAGGCAAUCCCUGGGCCCUGCACUGACGCUCAUGCACGAAAGCGUGGGGAGCAAACAGGAUUAGAUAACCUGGUAGUCCACGCCCCUAAACGAUGUCAACUGAUUGUUGGGAAAUUAACUUUCUCAGUAACGAAGCUAACGCGUGAAGUUGACCGCCUGGGGGAGUACGGCCGCAAGGUUAAAAACUCAAAGGAUUGACGGGGGACCCGCACAAGCCGUGAUGAUGUGGAUUAAUCCGAUGCAACGCGAAAACCUACCCCUUGACAUGGCAGGAACUUACCAGAGAUGGUUUGGUGCUCGAAAGAGAACCUGCACACAGGUGCUGCAUGGCUGUCGUCAGCUCGUGUCGUGAGAUGUUGGGUUAAGUCCCGCAACGAGCGCAACCCUUGCCAUUAGUUGCUACAUUCAGUUGAGCACUCUAAUGGGACUGCCGGUGACAAACCGGAGGAAGGUGGGGAUGACGUCAAGUCCUCAUGGCCCUUAUAGGUGGGGCUACACACGUCAUACAAUGGCUGGUACAAAGGGUUGCCAACCCGCGAGGGGGAGCUAAUCCCAUAAAGCCAGUCGUAGUCCGGAUCGCAGUCUGCAACUCGACUGCGUGAAGUCGGAAUCGCUAGUAAUCGUGGAUCAGAAUGUCACGGUGAAUACGUUCCCGGGUCUUGUACACACCGCCCGUCACACCAUGGGAGCUGGUGUCUCGCCAGAAGUAGGUAGCCUAACCGCAACGAGGUACGCUAGCAUGAGUUGAUC